CACACGUUGAAACGUGUGAUAGGCCUGCGCAUGUUCGACCCUAUGGUCCUCGGAGGGUUGGUGCCCCGAAGAGGAAGAAGACUGCCCAUAAGUCCCAUGACGGUCAGCGUCCCUGUGGAGUGGACUUAGGGAGCACCGCCGAUGGAGGGGGAGGUUUCUUCGAGGAGGGCGAACUCCCACCGGGUUCGGCGUCCCCUGGCGUUGACAACAUGGAUUGCUUUGUGCAACAAAUGUGCGACGCUUUUCACGAUGGGUCUUUGGGCAUCGACCUUAACAUCGAUCUUGAGCAGAUAAAUAAUGUUGAGCCCACAAUCCCUUAUUCAGAUGUUGCGAUGGAGGGGCCAAGCUUCUCGAAG